UUUGAUCCUGGCUCAGAAUGAACGCUGGCGGCGCGCCUAAUACAUGCAAGUCGAGCGAGAAGACGUAGCAAUACGUUUGUAAAGCGGCGAACGGGUGAGGAAUACAUGGGUAACCUACCCUAGAGUGGGGAAUAACUAGCCGAAAGGUUAGCUAAUACCGCGUACGCUUCUUGGACUUCGGUUCAGGGAGGAAAGCGCUACCGAGGGUAGCGCGCUCUUGGAUGGGCUCAUGUCCUAUCAGCUUGUUGGUGAGGUAAUGGCUCACCAAGGCUUCGACGGGUAGCUGGUCUGAGAGGACGAUCAGCCACACUGGCACUGCGACACGGGCCAGACUCCUACGGGAGGCAGCAGUAAGGAAUAUUGCGCAAUGGGCGAAAGCCUGACGCAGCGACGCCGCGUGGGGGAUGAAGGUCUUCGGAUUGUAAACCCCUUUCGGCAGGGAAGAUGGAAUGGGGUAACCCAUUCGGACGGUACCUGCAGAAGCAGCCACGGCUAACUUCGUGCCAGCAGCCGCGGUAAUACGAAGGUGGCAAGCGUUAUUCGGAUUUACUGGGCGUACAGGGAGCGUAGGCG
rnacentral:rRNA from 1 species